UGCUCUUCUUCCAUGUGAGGACAUGAUAUUUCUCCUCUCCAGAGGAUGCACCACCUUGACACUGGACUUCUCAGCCUCUGGAACGUUUUCACCACGACUCCAUAAGGUUUAGAUUGGAUUCCCCUUGGAGAAGAGCUUUGGAUGCAAAAAGAUGAUUUGAAAAGUGAUAAGAAGAAUUACAAGUGAAACAAGAAAAAGAAGGGAAAAGUGUAAUAAUGAGCAUAAUACCGCUGUGAGCGACUGGGGCUCAAAUCCUUCGAGGACCCUCUGUAAGACUGUUUGAAACACAAGUCACACCUCCUCCAUUAAGACAGGGGGUCUCCCUGCUGAAAGUCCAGCUCUUGUUGAUUGAUGGUGUUCUCAAGGCACUGAUUCCUGCACUUCUGCCUGCCUAGAGAGAGGGCAAGCAUGGCCUGUGGCCAGAGAAUACUUUCAGGCAGAGUAAUACAGGAAGAGGGGUCAGGAUGGGGGGGCAUUCAGAGAGACUGAUGCAAUACAAGCAGGCUGUCAACAGCAUCUGGUGCAACUGUUAUUUUUGUUCUUUUAUAAAUUAAGAAAAUGCCUAAUGGCACAUGAGCAGCUAGUGGAGGAGCCCAGUUUUGAAGCCAGGCAGUCUGGCCCCAGAGUCUACACUGUAUCUUGAAAUGAAGAUGUAGUCAAAAUUUCAUUAGGAUCUCUAACAGGGUUGUAAAUGCCUCACUUUGCAAGAGUUAUAAGAAUUUAAGCUUGUACUCAUAAUACCAUUUUGGAAGGUUAAAUGUCAUUCUAAAAUAUUGAGUUUUAAUCUUGGAGGUUUCAUUCCCUCUGAAAUACUUGCUGCAGGAUUCUGACAGGUGAAAGCUUAUUUUUUUUUUCUAUCUCAGAAAUACUCUUUUUUGAAUCCAAGAAGACAAUGCAAAUCUUUAUUCAUCAUUCAUUAAUUCCUCUUCUUUAAACCUCCUUUAUUCACGGAACCUUAUAUGAACAUUGUUCUACUCCAGUAAAUACAUACCCAGAGUAUCAUUUUUAUUGGCUGUCAUGCAUAUUUAGACUAUUCUCAAGUUUCCUGUUACAUAAUUCCUAUACUUUUGCAUAUGACUAUUUGAGAGAAAUAUUACAGGAAAGCACUUCUAUGAAGGGAAAAGACGUGAAAACAGAUGUGACAUUUACUUUCUUAACUUGCUUUCCUGUAAGCAUUCUUGCUACUAGUUGCUGCAACUCGUCUGAGAGAGUCCCAAAAUGUUGCUCUUCAACCCCAAAUGUCUGGAGUCUCUGCCAUCUGUUUUUCCUCCUGUAUACUCUAAAGAGAACUUGUAUAAAUAAAAGAGAUAAAGCACCUAUUUACUGAGGAGCCAAGGAAUCAAAGUAUAUCAUCCAGUGGGGAUGAAUUAAAAUUCCAAAUUAGAAGGUAAUUCUUAAAGGCUUAAAUGAAUACAAGCAAUCCCCUUGGUGGGUUUCCCUUGCCAGGAGUACCAAAUAAUUCCAACUUUUUAAAGUACACCAUGGUCUGAUUCAUUAACUUUUGGAUGGGAGCAAGAAAAGGAGAAAAGUAAAUGGAGUUUAUCACUGCAGCACAAGAAGAUUUUCUGGUAAUGGCACUAAGUGACUGCCCUUGCACUCAGAAAACACUGAUCGAGCCAACAGUGUUCAGGAGAUUGCAUGCUUAGAAAUCCUCUGUGGUCUCCAUCAAAAUUGAGAAACUGAGGUACCAAUCAUGAUGCAUAAUGCAAGCACAAACCAAAAUCUUGGCAAAUCUGGGGUUAGAAGCCUCAGCAAGAUGGGAAUGUGAUGUAGUGGCAUUCGUGGGACCAAGAAGCCUCAGUGAGAAGGCAUAGAUAACUUAAGAACUACACAAAUCGAAGAACAUCUUUGUAUGGUGUUGACAGCUGAUUCAACUUGUCCAACAUAACCUUGGAUCUUUUUGGGAGGAGAUGAAUUCUGACCUCUGUGGACACGGCUGAAGGGACCCACAUCAUCCAAAGUUAUACUUCCACUCCAGGGCAAUUGACCUCCAAUCACUGGAUAUGGGGUCAAAAGUCUGCCCCUCUUUUCUCCAUUUGGGAUGACCCUAAAGAUUCCCUAGCCCAGAGCUCUCUGUGGGAUCAUCUGAGAGUACCCUAUACCAUGUAUGGGAGUCUGACUGAUCUCUCUGCCCAAUGUUUCCCUCCUGUUCCUCCUACAGUUGUGGACUGCAAGGGAACUCUUCAAUCAACUCUCUGCAUGUAGAUCUCCAUCUGUUUCCUGGGAAACCAAACCCAAUACAUGAGGCUAUCUUCAGCUGUCUUUACAUAUUUAAGAGUAAGACAUUAAAGAACCAAACAGAAAGUGUGUCAAGAUGUUGAAACAUUUAAUUAACUUUUAAGAUUCAUUCUAGAAGUAUUGGAAGAGGAGUCAACUCUUUCUUUGCGGAAUGCUCCAAUAUUGGGAUAUGAAAGUCCAUUCUGAGAAGCCAUUGAGUUAUAGCGGAGAACACUCUUCCAUAUUCUGUCUGUCAAUAUGUUGAAACAUUUAAUUGACUUUUAAGAUUCAUUCUAGAAGUAUCGGAAGAGGAGUCAACUCUUUCUUUGCAGAAUGCUCCAAUAUCAGGAUACGGAAGUCUAUUCUGAGAAGCCAUUGAGUUACGGCAGAGAACACUCUUCCAUAUUCUGUUUGGGUCUAAAGCCCCACCAGUAAUGUUCUCUGAGUUGGGCAGAAUAUGGAGGUUGAUCUGUGAAGAUAUGGGAAAGAGAAGUGUGGGGACAUGAGGACACUAUUUGUGGCAGAGAGCAGAAGUGAGGCACAGGGCUGAAAAUAAGAUAGUUCAAUACAGGUCUGCCUAGGAAGUAAUUGGGCCUCAUGUUCCCAUUCCCUGACUCGUUUUCUUUCAACCUUUUUUUUUUUUUUUUGAUACAGUCUCACUCUGUCACCCAGGGUGGAGUGCAGUGGCACAAUCUCGGCUCACUGCAACCUCUGCCUCCCAGGUUCAAAUGAUCCUCCCACCUCAGCCUCCCCAGUAGUUGGGAUUAAGGUGCCUGCCACCAUGCCUGGCUAAUUUUUGUAUUUUUAGUAGAGAUGAGGUUUUAUCAUGUUGGCCAGGCUGGUCUUGAACUCCUGGCCUCAGGUGGUUCACCCGCCUCAGCCUCCCAAAGUGCUGGGAUCACAGCCAUGAGCCACCGCACCUGGCCCAACUCAUUUUCUAAACAUCGGAAACCAGGCCAGCUGCAGCCUCCUUCCCAGGAUGACAAUGGGGUAGUAGUGUAGAGAGAUGCCAUUUUAAUUCAUUGACUUUCAAUCAAGUCAUUAGUAUUUGCUUUCAGUCCAAUUUCUCAACUCAGCCUUCCGUGAGCCUAAGCCAAACCCCUGACCAUUUCAAAGGAUCUACAGGCCUAAUUAGCUUAAGUGUCAUUACUAAGCUUCUCUGCAGACACUAGCUUUUGUCUUCACUGAUCAUUAAACUGGUCACCAACUCUGGCUCCAUUCGCCUUCGAACAUCUGCCCUUAACACUCCUUUGUUGCUGUCCAAUGUACUGACCUUUCUGCCUCUUUGUUCUUAGCCUUUAUCUCUGUCUCUUUUACUCUUCUCUGUCCUCCCUCCAACUCCAAUCAAUCCAACUCCUAAGCUCCAUAAUACAUUUUUUAAAGAAAAACAGCAGUUGUUCAACAGACUCUUAUUUUUCCCAGCUGAUUCAUUAUUUUCCAUUUAUGUAAAAUAAAAUUCUAAUUUUAAAUUUUAAUCCAUGGACAAAUUCUGCUGCAUCCUUUUCACUUUCUCCCCAUCAUCAUUCAUCACCAGAUCCAUUUGGGGAAGGACUGGCCAAGUUCUAUUUUCCUAGGACAGAGCAGCUCAAGAGGAUAUACGGUCACUUAAUUCCAUCAGAGCCUCAUGAAUGAUGCUAGUUGUUUAAAUGGGUGCUUGGCUGAGUCCAUCUCCCAGGCAAAGCAUAAGUCAGACAAGUGGAAAGGCCACAGGGUGUGCUGCUUCUAUGCAAAUGAUCUUUGUUCCAACCCCACAAACACUUUUUGCUGUUGUUACCAUGGGUUGCUUUGAAACAAUUCUGCUUUCUUUUGUUUCACUGAUUCAUGCUGUAUCCUGCCCAGAAAACUAGUUUUGACACCUCCUACAUCUUCUGAUUUCUCCCACAAACAAAAGAGUCAGACUGGAAAAUAAAAAGAAUGUAUCUGGCUAGUGAACUGAGGAAUUCAAAGAAUGUUCUUUCCUUAUAUUCUUUCCCUACCCACUGUGGAGAUAUUACUGUCCUCACUCGGUUAUUAAGAAAUUCAAUGGAAAAGUAUGAGGUCAGUUAUAUUUCCUUCUUAGAGAUGACUGAGAUUUUAGCUAAAAGGAUCAAGGAAUUUUUAUUUUUAUUUAUUUAAUCUUUCCAAUUCAGUAACUUCAUGGGGAUACGACUUAGUGUUGAUCAUCCAGAUCUAUUGUUACUUUUAAAUAACCCAGA
rnacentral:lncRNA from 10 species